rnacentral:rRNA from 1 species
GACGAACGCUGGCGGCGUGCUUAACACAUGCAAGUCGAACGGAAAGGCCCUGCUUUUGUGGGGUGCUCGAGUGGCGAACGGGUGAGUAACACGUGAGUAACCUGCCCUUGACUUUGGGAUAACUUCAGGAAACUGGGGCUAAUACAGGAUAGGAGCUCCUGCUGCAUGGUGGGGGUUGGAAAGUUUCGGCGGUUGGGGAUGGACUCGCGGCUUAUCAGCUUGUUGGUGGGGUAGUGGCUUACCAAGGCUUUGACGGGUAGCCGGCCUGGGAGGGUGGCCGGCCACAUUGGGACUGAGAUACGGCCCAGACUCCUACGGGAGGCAGCAGUGGGGAAUAUUGCACAAUGGGCGGAAGCCUGAUGCAGCAACGCCGCGUGCGGGAUGACGGCCUUCGGGUUGUAAACCGCUUUCGCCUGUGACGAAGCGUGAGUGACGGUAAUGGGUAAAGAAGCACCGGCUAACUACGUG